UCAAUCUAUAUUCCCAAAGGAAGAGAAAAGGUUUUACCAGCUGGAACUUGUCAAUCGAGAGACCAACUUUAACAAAGUCUUCAAUGCCACACCCAAUGUUGGUGUCUUGAACCCAUUUCAAAAACCCAAGAAGAAAGUGGAGAAAGCCUUUGGUAGUGGGAUCAGCGCAACUCAACGUUUGGACCCUUUGCCUGGCUCACCACUGCAUGAUGGACAGUUGAACCCAGCCAAGCCCCUACCACCUCCUACCACCUUCACCAAGAAAUUUCUUAGAUAACUUUCUCUUUUUUUUUAAAAUGUUAAAUUGAGUUUGUUGAUGCAAGCAGGAAGUAAUAUAUCAUUAUGUAGAGCUGAACUGAUAAUAGUGAAGUCUACUUUCUUGUUUGUUGUGGGAUUCAAAAUGAUUACAAAAUAUUGCAACUAUUUGACUGUAAUUGUUGCAAGUCUUAUACUGGGAAGCUGUGUUGUGAUAUAAAAAUUAGUGUAAAUUUUUAUGUGACCUGAUACUGAUAGUUUUAUUUUAUCAGCCUUUGGCAAUGUAUACAAUUAGCAAGUUACUGUGAUGUUGUACAGUUUUUUUUUUACUGCUGACUUGACAUUAUACUCUCCUGUCCAGUAUACAUUUUACUUAGCAACCAAUGACAAGUACAGUCCUAGGCAUGUCUUUAUAUUUAGCUAGCCAGGAAAACCAGUGACUUGGCAGAAUUUAGGUCAUUGGUUAAUAUGCAUGACUGAAUGCAUGCAUGAUGUGUAGGAUGUAAUCAUCUUCUUUUUUGAAGUAACGUCUGUAUUAUAUAAGAUAAGAAGAAGAUUUAUUAUCUAAGAAUUACUGCAUGUUGAGUUAGUAAUAAUAAAACAUUACUGAACAAA
rnacentral:sRNA from 1 species